rfam:Schistosoma mansoni, Puerto Rico, WGS project CABG01000000 data, contig: 0076
AGCUUUUCUCAUUCAUGCCGAGAUUUCCUCAGACACCAGACCAUUAGAACUGAUGAGACUUCAAAGAUAAGUGAAAGUG